CCUCCCCCGGGCCGGUCCCUGGGGAGGCCCCAGGUUGACCUCUUGAGUGCGGCGCACUGCACUAAGCGCUGGGGAGAGUGCGCCAACGAACCCUAAGCAAAUUCCCGCCCUCGAAGGAGCUCCCAAGCUGUUGGGCGGAGCCGCAAAGAGCGGGAGCAGGAAGGAGAAGCAGGAGGAUUUAGCAGGUCUCUGCGUCUCCCUGAGCCUCCCGGCGACUCCCUGCAUCGGCCAAGUCUCUCGCAUCUCCCAUGUCCCCCACAUCUCCAUCACUUUUCUCAGACAAGCAGCUGGCUGAUUGGCUUGCUUUCCACCUCUGUUCUCCUGCUUCUGCCAGGAAAGGGAAUGCACACGUGGGCUGGGGUCUCCCCAAAGACCCUCCCUAUACAUGGAUCAGAGUCUCAAAAGAUCAUCGGUUCCAAGUCCCUCCCGAUUCCACGAUGUUUCACGGGAGACGGUGCUUUGGAAGAAGGAAGAAAGAAGCCCAGAGACCCUCCUUAGUGACUAGUGGCAGAAUCCUGGCAAGGACACACCUUUGAACAAGGAGUACCCAAGGGCUAGGGCAAGAGUGGGAUGGGGCUUGAUUUCUGGGACUCAGUCUUGGAAAGUCCUAUCUCUAACAAGUCCCAGAAACACCCAGGGCACAAUAGAGCCUUAGUCAUC